rnacentral:rRNA from 1 species
CAUGCAAGUCGAGCGGAAACGAGUUAUCUGAACCUUCGGGGGACGAUAACGGCGUCGAGCGGCGGACGGGUGAGUAAUGCCUAGGAAAUUGCCCUGAUGUGGGGGAUAACCAUUGGAAACGAUGGCUAAUACCGCAUGAUGCCUACGGGCCAAAGAGGGGGACCUUCGGGCCUCUCGCGUCAGGAUAUGCCUAGGUGGGAUUAGCUAGUUGGUGAGGUAAGGGCUCACCAAGGCGACGAUCCCUAGCUGGUCUGAGAGGAUGAUCAGCCACACUGGAACUGAGACACGGUCCAGACUCCUACGGGAGGCAGCAGUGGGGAAUAUUGCACAAUGGGCGCAAGCCUGAUGCAGCCAUGCCGCGUGUGUGAAGAAGGCCUUCGGGUUGUAAAGCACUUUCAGUCGUGAGGAAGGUGGUAGUGUUAAUAGCACUAUCAUUUGACGUUAGCGACAGAAGAAGCACCGGCUAACUCCGUGCCAGCAGCCGCGGUAAUACGGAGGGUGCGAGCGUUAAUCGGAAUUACUGGGCGUAAAGCGCAUGCAGGUGGUUUGUUAAGUCAGAUGUGAAAGCCCGGGGCUCAACCUCGGAAUAGCAUUUGAAACUGGCAGACUAGAGUACUGUAGAGGGGGGUAGAAUUUCAGGUGUAGCGGUGAAAUGCGUAGAGAUCUGAAGGAAUACCGGUGGCGAAGGCGGCCCCCUGGACAGAUACUGACACUCAGAUGCGAAAGCGUGGGGAGCAA